ensembl:lncRNA
CAGGGUGCUAAAUCUGCUUCUCAACAACUUCCUGAUUAAUCUUUCACGUCUGCUUUCCGAACUGACCUACCCAAAGCACGGUGAACUCAGACAGCCGCGGCCUGCUGGGGCAGGCAGCCAAGCAUCUUAUCAGCCCCGAUGUUGUCUUUCUUGGUUUCAAUCCCAGUGCUUUCCAGAAGAAGAGGAGGGCCCGACGAAGAAUGCAAUUUCUUUUGACUCGCAUUUCCACUCGAGCAGUUGUCAUGCUCGUGCCUUCAAACAAACCACUGCAAAAUGUGGAAAAAUGUCUCCGAUCAGACGAGUCGCAGCAGCGGCGGCGCGGGUACGG